GAGUUUGAUCGUGGCUCAGGAUGAACGCUGGCGGCGUGCCUAAUACAUGCAAGUCGAGCGAACAGACGAGGAGCUUGCUCCUCUGACGUUAGCGGCGGACGGGUGAGUAACACGUGGAUAACCUACCUAUAAGACUGGGAUAACUUCGGGAAACCGGAGCUAAUACCGGAUAAUAUAUUGAACCGCAUGGUUCAAUAGUGGAAGACGGUUUUGCUGUCACUUAUAGAUGGAUCCGCGCCGCAUUAGCUAGUUGGUAAAGUAACGGCUUACCAAGGCAACGAUGCGUAGCCGACUGAGAGGUGAUCGGCCACACUGGAACUGAGACACGGUCCAGACUCCUACGGGAGCAGCAGUAGGGAAUCUUCCGCAAUGGGCGAAAGCCUGACGGAGCAACGCCGCGUGAGUGAUGAA
rnacentral:rRNA from 1 species